ensembl:lncRNA
GUUAGGUUUAGGGUUACAGUUAGGGUUAGAAUGAGUGUCAAGGGAUAGGUUUAGGGUUACAGUUAGGUUUAGGGUUACAGUUAGGGUUAGAAUGAGUGUCAGGGGUUAGGUUUACAGUUAGGUUUAGGGUUACAGUUAGGGUUAGAAUGAGUGUCAGGGGUUAGGUUUACAGUUAGGUUUAGGGUUACAGUUAGGGUUAGAAUGAGUGUCAGGGGUUAGGUUUACAGUUAGGUUUAGGGUUACAGUUAGGGUUAGAAUGAGUGUCAGGGGUUAGGUUUACAGUUAGGUUUAGGGUUACAGUUAGGGUUAGAAUGAGUGUCAGGGGUUAGGUUUACAGUUAGGUUUAGGGUUA